rnacentral:lncRNA from 1 species
UUGAGAGUACAUUAGAGAGAGUGUAGAGACUAGUGAGAGGAAAGUGUAGAGAUUUGAGAGAGAAAGAAGAGAUUAGAGUGAGAAGAGGCAUUAAUGCCAAAUAUUCUCUAAGAUUCACAAAUCUUUCCAAAGAUUAGCCAAAUCCUUCUAUAUCUUGCAAAGGAUUUUCCUCUCUCUUCUCCACCCCAUUUUCGAUCUCUCUCCCUCUCCCUCAUCUCUCACUUCACUUUCCACCAUUGUUAGCCAUUGAUGAAACCUUCGAAGCUUCACCCAAGUAUGCCAAACACAUAAAUCACUACUUAAAUCCUCCAUAAACACAUCCUAUCAACUUAAAUUCAAGAGAAUCCUUGAAGAUUGGUUUCAAGAAUAGUGAGAGAAAAUUUGGAUAAUUGGUGAAAACUUGGGUAAGUGAUCUCCAUAUUCAUAGAUAUAAUUUGUAUGAGUUUGUAUAUGAGUUUAUUUGAAGGAUUGAAGCAAGAAAUCACCCCCUCUCUUAUUCUUCAUAAUUUUCGAAAAUUUGGGUGUUCUACCCUUCAAAAAUUUUUCUUCUUCUUU